rnacentral:lncRNA from 1 species
GAGCGGAAUGGGAAGGUGACCAAGAAGAACAACUAGUUUGUUUUUCAUAUUUUUUGUUCUAAGGGCGACUAAUGUUUUGUCGGCCAUGUAAUCCGUCGCCCGUACCGAAUGAAUGUAAUCGGCCAAUCUGGUCGACUUAUGUGUUUUGAACCGAUUUGUAUCGGCUACGUGUGAUCGUGUUACGGUCGAUUUCUUACGCUCCG